UACAGAGGUCCCAAGCGUUGUUCGGAUUCAUUGGGCGUAAAGGGUGCGUAGGCGGCGCGGUAAGUCGGGUGUGAAAUCUCGGAGCUUAACUCCGAAACUGCAUUCGAUACUGCCGUGCUUGAGGACUGGAGAGGAGACUGGAAUUUACGGUGUAGCGGUGAAAUGCGUAGAUAUCGUAAGGAAGACCAGUGGCGAAGGCGGCUCACUGGCCCGAUACUGACGCUGAGGCACGAAAGCGUGGGGAGCAAACAGG
rnacentral:rRNA from 1 species